rnacentral:rRNA from 1 species
AACGAACGCUGGCGGCAUGCCUAACACAUGCAAGUCGAACGAGACCUUCGGGUCUAGUGGCGCACGGGUGCGUAACGCGUGGGAAUCUGCCCUUAGGUACGGAAUAACUCAGAGAAAUUUGUGCUAAUACCGUAUGAUGUCGAAAGACCAAAGAUUUAUCGCCUAAGGAUGAGCCCGCGUAAGAUUAGCUUGUUGGUGAGGUAAAAGCUCACCAAGGCGACGAUCUUUAGCUGGUCUGAGAGGAUGAUCAGCCACACUGGGACUGAGACACGGCCCAGACUCCUACGGGAGGCAGCAGUGGGGAAUAUUGGACAAUGGGCGAAAGCCUGAUCCAGCAAUGCCGCGUGUGUGAUGAAGGCCUCGGUUGUAAG